GCCCCGGUAGCUCAGCUGGAUAGAGCGUCCGCCUCCUAAGCGGAAGGCCGCUGGUUCGAAUCCAGCUCGGGGCA
rnacentral:tRNA from 1 species